rnacentral:tRNA from 1 species
GAUAGGGUGGUGUACAGAGCACGUAGAGUUUUGGUCUCUAAGGGGGUAAUUCAUUUUGCCCUCUAUUA